GUGCUCGCUUCGACAGCACAUAUACUAAAAUUGGAAUGAUACAGAGAAGGUUAGCAUGGCCAUUAUAAGAGAACCAGGGAGGUGUUCAUGGUAAUU
ensembl:snRNA U6 U6 spliceosomal RNA